rnacentral:other from 1 species
GUAGCGCCCGUCCUUCGGGACGGGCGAGGAUUGAAC